GUCCAGGCUGGCCUCGAACUCACAGCGGUCCCAUCUGCCUCUGCCUCCUGAGCACUAGGAUUAAGCACAUACCUACCAUGUCCCUCUAUUUAUGUGUAUGUGUGAAUGCCUGCUUGUCUAUCUGUGUACCAUGAGCAUGCAGUACCAAGGGCUCAGGAGAGGGCAUCAGACUGGAGUUGCAAGCAACCUUGUGGGAGGUGGAAGUCAAGCCAGGGCCCUCUGGCCAUCUUUCCAGUUCCUGUAUACCAAUAGUGAAUAAACAGAAUCUCUCUGGAUUUAUUUUUUGAGGGGUGAGGGUUGGGGUCCAAGUUUUAUCCAGCAACUCCAACAAACAGGCAGGUAUGGUAAUGUAUAUCUGUAAUCUCAGCCGCUCAGGAGGCUGAGGCAGGAAGAUUGUGAGUUCGAGGCCAGCCUGGGCUACAGAGGGAGACUCUUUCUCCCAAGACCAAUGUGUGGGAUGGAUCUUAGUGGCACAGCACCCACAUAGCAUGAGCAAGAAUUUGAUUCCUAGUACUGCAAAUAAACAAACAAAUAAAUAGGGGCUGGAGAGUUGGCUCAGUGGUUAAGAGCACUAACUGCCCUUCCAUAGGAUCCAGGUUCAAUUCCCAGCACCCACAUGACCGCUCACAACUGUUUGUAAGUCCAGUUCCACUCUCACACAGACAUAUGUACAGGCAAAACACCAAUGCACAUGAAACAAAAUUAAAUAAAAGCUUAAAAAAUGCCGUUAGAGCCUUUGGCAGGCCCAAACAGCACAAAAUAAUCAUCAUCAUCAUCACCAUCACCAUCAUCAUCAUCAUCAUCUAAAAUAAAGCAACAGAAAUCUAACAAGAAAUCUUAAAACAAAAUAUCCUAGAUCAAAUUCCUCAUCUUGGUUCAUCUCCAAAUAAUUUGCCAUUACCAGCUAUGAACAAGUAACCGGUCCCACGGUGACGUCUUCACCCUGCAUGCCCAUGGUACAAAGGCCCAUACAUUACAGUUUUAAAACUAUUUACUUAUAUUCUGGUCUGUCUGCUUCUCUCCCUCCACCUUUAUGUGAGUUCUAUGACUGAACUUAGGUUGGCAGGCUUGCAUGGCAAACAAAGAGCCAUACGGCCGGGCCUCAAUACCUUUUGGGAAACACCUCGCUCCCGUGGAUGGCGACCACUGCUCUACAGAGACACCCAGCUUCCAGUUCCCGUCAACAUUUUUGGAGAAAUGAUUGAUGCUGACAUCCCCCAACUCCACCUUCUACAUAGCCCAGGGUGCCUUUCCCACUUCCCUUCAGUUGUGUGAUUGUAAUUUUUCCUGAUGUCAGUCACUCUAGGCAGAGCACCAAGGACAGAAACAAUUCCACCCAAGUCUCUCUUGGUGAACGAAUGAGUUUAUUGGAUUUACGUACAGGAGCAUGGGUGACCCCCAAACAGCUGUAUCACUGAAAAGUCCCACCCCAACAUGAUGACAGGGAUGGGGUUCCUCUGAAGUUGGCUGUGCACACUUUGUAUUCUCCGGCUGCCUCGAGACCACACGUGGCUGGGGCAGGGUUACGUGCAGCUUGCCGGGCAGCAGAUUGGAGUCCUAGAUGAAGGCCCAUUAGCCCUCCUCACCCCUUCCUUCCGAGGGAACAGUAACAGACAUGAUCUUAGGAGAGGCUCUUGCAGAUAGCCACCGCUGCUCUAAGUGAGGUGGUGAUAGACAGCCUGCAAGGCUAGCAGUGCACACCUCCAACCCCAGCACUUGGGAGAGGGAGGCAAUUGGAUCCUUAGUUCUGUAACAAGUUUAGUCAUCAGCCUGGGCUGCAGGAGAUCCUGUCUCAGAGGAUGAAACAAGGCUGGCAGUAAGCUAGUUAUCGCCAGCUUGCUGCUCCUUGCGGUGUAUUCAAUAAACCUGGUUUUUCCUUCAGGAUAAUAAUGACCAAACAGUCAAGACGGCAACCAGGGCUGGGGAGACAGCUGGGUGCUUGUCUCAAAGGCGUGGGGACCUGAGUUUGAUGGCCAGAAUCUAUAUAAGAUGCUGGACGUGGUGGUACAUACUUGCAAUUCCAGUGCUCGGGAGAGGGAGACGGCAAAAUUCCUGGGGCUCAUUGGUGAGACAGUCUAGCCUAACUGGUAAGUUCAAGUUCAAGGAGAGACCCAGUCUCAAAGUGGGGAGACGACAUUCCUGAGGAUGGCACCUGAGAUUUCCCUUUGGCCUCCACUCACACAGGUGUGUGUAUGUUCACGUGUGAGCACAGACACAUACACACAAAUAUGCAUACAUACACAAAUGUACCAACCAUGUUCUACUUAGAAGAUGAUGUUCCACAAUGCCCCUCCAAUACCUUUUCCACAUUGCAACAGGAUCAGAGAGGCAGGAUGGGCUCUAUCAUCUUGUCUAAUGCAAUCCUUCCCAAGUCUCAACAGGUAAAAAAAGACACUGAUCAGUGAAUGUUGUAGGAAACCAAGAAUGGCCUGCUGCCAACACAGCUCACUGGAGCAAGGCUCCAAAUGCCCGAGAUGCCGGGAUGAAGCCACACUGAGUCUGAGGACUGUCCACCCCAUGCUCCUUUCUUCUGUGCUCUCUUCCAAUCCUGCAACUGACACAGGUCUCAAGAUUCCUUCAAGCUUCCUUCUUGGCUGCUGGAGUCAGGGCCUUGUCCCUGUCAGGGCGCAGUGUGAGCCUUCUGCUGUCUGUCAUCACUGACAGAGCAUCCUUUGAGAGCAUCUCCCAGUGGCAGCAGGCUCUGGGAAGACCAAAUCCUCCAACAUCCUCCUCCUGGUGCUAGGCCACAGGCCGAGCUCAGCGUCCAUGUGACCAGUGAAGAAGCUGGCUGUCCUUUUGCAGGUGAAACCUCAGCCAGGAACAACAGCGACAUCUGAAUGAUUUUGAGCUGCUCACCCAAGAGAUCUACAAACUGUCCCAUCUUAGACCAAGCCUCAGGAGGAAGAUGACAAAGCAGGGACCAAGAGUAGCUGUGUCUGUGCUGUGGUCCCUAGGUGGAGGGGCAGCCACCCUCCCCAGAGCCCAUGGACCCCUCACAAUCCACAGGACUGUGCUGGGCAUGGGUAGGAUGAUGCCUUGGGGAGAACAUCCUGUGGUCUAGCAGGGCCUGCUUUCCUCUGAUGACAGACGCUCAGCAACAGACCGUACCCAAAGCUGUUCACAUCCUCCUUCACGAUCUUCCACGGAGUUCCAGCCGCAGUCCAAAAGGGCUCUAGAAAGCCGGGUGUGAGGAUGUACCCGUAAUCAGCACACCGAGAAGUAGAGGCAGGAGGGACGGAUCAAGGAUGAUGCCAGCCUGGGUUACAUGAGAGUUUGCCUCAAAACACCAAAAACAAACAAAAAAAAAAAAGAAAAAA